rnacentral:rRNA from 1 species
GACGAACGCUGGCGGCGUGCUUAACACAUGCAAGUCGAGCGGUAAGGCCCUUUCGGGGGUACACGAGCGGCGAACGGGUGAGUAACACGUGGGUGACCUGCCCUCAGCUCUGGGAUAAGCCUGGGAAACCGGGUCUAAUACUGGAUAUGACUCCAUGACGCAUGUUGUGGGGUGGAAAGCCUUGUGCGGCUGAGGAUGGGCCCGCGGCCUAUCAGCUUGUUGGUGGGGUGAUGGCCUACCAAGGCGACGACGGGUAGCCGGCCCGAGAGGGCGACCGGCCACACUGGGACUGAGACACGGCCCAGACUCCUACGGGAGGCAGCAGUGGGGAAUCUUGCGCAAUGGGCGAAAGCCUGACGCAGCGACGCCGCGUGAGGGAUGACGGCCUCGG